AUUGAACGCUGGCGGCAGGCUUAACACAUGCAAGUCGAGCGGGGUGAUGGUGCUUGCACUAUCACUUAGCGGCGGACGGGUGAGUAAUGCUUAGGAAUCUGCCUAUUAGUGGGGGACAACAUCUCGAAAGGGAUGCUAAUACCGCAUACGUCCUACGGGAGAAAGCAGGGGAUCACUUGUGACCUUGCGCUAAUAGAUGAGCCUAAGUCGGAUUAGCUAGUUGGUGGGGUAAAGGCUCACCAAGGCGACGAUCCGUAACUGGUCUGAGAGGAUGAUCAGUCACACUGGAACUGAGACACGGUCCAGACUCCUACGGGAGGCAGCAGUGGGGAAUAUUGGACAAUGGGCGAAAGCCUGAUCCAGCCAUGCCGCGUGUGUGAAGAAGGUCUUCGGAUUGUAAAGCACUUUAAGUUGGGAGGAAGGGUUGUAGAUUAAUACUCUGCAAUUUUGACGUUACCGACAGAAUAAGCACCGGCUAACUCUGUGCCAGCAGCCGCCGUAA
rnacentral:rRNA from 1 species